rnacentral:rRNA from 1 species
GACGAACGCUGGCGGCGUGCUUAACACAUGCCAGUCGAACGGAAAGGCCCUGCUGUUUUGUGGUGCUCGAGUGGCGAACGGGCGAGUAACACGUGAGUAACCUGCCCUUGACUUUGGGAUAACUUCAGGAAACUGGGGCUACUACCGGCUAGGAGCUCCUGCUGCAUGGUGGGGGUUGGCUAGUUUCGGCGGGUGGGGAUGGACUCGCGGCUUAUCAGCUUGUUGGUGGGGGAGUGGCUUACCCAGGCUUUGGCGGGUAGCCGGCCUGAGAGGGUGACCGGCGACAUGGGGACUGAGAGACGGCCCAGACGCCUACGGGAGGCAACAGUGGGGAAUAUUGCACAAUGGGCGGAAGCCUGAGGCAGCAACGCUGCGGGCGUGAUGACGGCCUUCGGGUGGGAAACCGCGUUCGCCUGUGACGAAGCGUGAGUGACGGUAAUGGGUAAAGAAGCACCGGCUAACUACGUG